UACGAAGGGGGCUAGCGUUGCUCGGAAUCACUGGGCGUAAAGCGCACGUAGGCGGAUCUUUAAGUCAGGGGUGAAAUCCUGGAGCUCAACUCCAGAACUGCCUUUGAUACUGGGGAUCUCGAGUCCGGGAGAGGUGAGUGGAACUGCGAGUGUAGAGGUGAAAUUCGUAGAUAUUCGCAAGAACACCAGUGGCGAAGGCGGCUUACUGGUCCGGUUCUGACGCUGAGGCGCGAAAGCGUGGGGAGCAAACAGG
rnacentral:rRNA from 1 species